rnacentral:lncRNA from 10 species
GGGCCUGCCGCCGCCACCGCCUCAGGGAAGAGGAAGGAGGCCGCGGCUUCGCGUCCCGCCUCUCGCCUGGCUGGCCGUGGGGGGCCUGGACGCAGUGGCCUCCCGAAUCUCCCAGGACCCUAAUAUCGCCCGAGGAUGCUGGGAGGAACGCUGAGCCGACCUCUCCGUUAGGCUGAAGAUUGCACAAACCAUGCUAAUGGCCAGCAUGGAUGGAGGGAGCGUGUGAGAUGUGUGGGGCAGCGUGCUGCAUCUCAGCCAACUCCAGGAGGAAGCAUGCUCAUGGCAAUACCCGGAGUCUCCACUGCAAGACCAGAGUGACGGAGGCAGCAGAGCUCCUCAGCAGGCCAGGAGUCUCCAGAGGCACUGCCGAAUGUCUAAGAAGCAACCUCAUUGUAUUCCCAAGACCUGGGAAUCCAGGUCUCGCAGAUACGAUGAUACAAUCUAUAGCCAGGACAUCUCUUCAUGUGUAGUUUUCAAUGAAUACUAGGAUAAGCAACUAUCCCAGUCUUCCCAGGAUUGAGGGGCUUCUCCAGAUGCUGCACUUCUGGUGCUAAAAAUGAGAAACUGAAAUGAAUUAGUCACCCAAGGAAUGCUGACCCUGUGCUAUAUGAUCACAUUUACUCUUUAAAGCAAUGCUUUGAGAACAAUUGAGCUGCAUAGUCCCUGCAAUCUUAUAAAGGCAUUUGGCCUGGAAGAUGCUCUGCAGCCAUGUGCCAAGAAUAACGGCUAUAGGGACAAUGUUUCAUUAACCCCAAAGCAGCAACCUGAACCUCUUACUGUACAAUAUCUGCUCCGUUCAGAAUUAGCUCGACUUGAGUCACAGGAUGAAGCUUACCAAAAGGAAUUUCCACGUCCAAGGAAGGAACCAAGAUCACUGAGAGGUUAUAGUAUGAAAAGUGAAGAGAAAAAACCUAUUCUAAACAUUUUAUUAAUUGUCAAUAAUUAUUUUAAAAUAUUUAAUAUAGUCUCCUACCUGGUCCACUGGCAUCAAGCUGCCAAAUUUACACGGUCACUUUGGGAAGCCAGCUGGCAGGCAAACAUGGAAAGUGCUGGCUCCUAGCGUAGUGAGAAGACCACAGAUAGAUGGUAAUUUUCUUCUUUGUUUUAUUUUUCUUUUUCUUCUCUCCCUCUUUUUCUUCCCUCUUGCCUUUCCCUCCCAUUGCCCACUUUCUUUUUUUGGCUGCCGAAGAUUUAUUGCCUUUCAGUACUUAUAGAUGAUGUUUUCAUAAGUUCUAAUGAGGUCCCAGCAGUUUUUAACAAUAACAGGACAUUACUGUUCCUAAGAUAUAUUAUGUGUUUUCCCUCAUCUUUCUCCCUUGAAUGAAAUGCUUAGAAGUAGGCUAACCCCCAAUUCCCUUCCCUUUACUAUGAUAAAUGGCUCCAUUACUUAAUAGGGCUAAAUACUCUGCUGUGACUUUUAUACUGCUGAUUUGAAUAAAAUCUUACGAAAAGCUUUUCUCGUGU